GGUUCUAUCGUGUAAUGGUUAGCACUCUGGACUUUGAAUCCAGCGAUCUGAGUUCAAAUCUCGGUAGGACCA
rnacentral:tRNA from 1 species